rnacentral:misc_RNA from 1 species
GAUGAAGAACGCAGCGAAAUGCGAUAAGUAAUGUGAAUUGCAGAAUUCAGUGAAUCAUCGAAUCUUUGAACGCACAUUGCGCCCGUUAGCAUUCUAGCGGGCAUGCCUGUCCGAGCGUCAUUUCAACCCUCAGGGUCCCCGUUCCGGCGGGGAACCUGGUGUUGGGGAUCGGCCCGCCCCGCGCGGCGCCGUCCCCCAAAUUCAGUGGCGGUCUCGCUGCAGCCUCCCCUGCGUAGUAGUUACAACCUCGCAUCGGAGCUCAGCGCGGCCACGCCGUAAAACCCCCGACUUUCUGAACGUUGACCUCGGAUCAGGUAGGAAUACCCGCUGAACUUAAGCAUAUCAAUAAGCGGAGGA